rnacentral:rRNA from 1 species
UACAGAGGGCGCGAGCGUUGUCCGGAAUCACUGGGCGUAAAGGGCGCGUAGGUGGCGGCAUAAGUCCGUUGUGAAAGUCAAAGGCUCAACCUUUGAAAGCCGAUGGAUACUGUGAGGCUAGAGUCCGGAAGAGGCGAGUGGAAUUCCUGGUGUAGCGGUGGAAUGCGCAGAUAUCAGGAGGAACACCGGUGGCGAAGGCGGGUCUCUGGGCAACAACUGACGCUGAGGAGCGAAAGCGUGGGGAGCGAACAGG